UACAGAGGGGGCAAGCGUUGUUCGGAAUUACUGGGCGUAAAGGGCGCGUAGGCGGCCCGCUAAGUCGAACGUGAAAUCCCCGGGCUCAACCCGGGAACUGCGUCCGAUACUGGCAGGCUUGAAUCCGGGAGAGGGAUGCGGAAUUCCAGGUGUAGCGGUGAAAUGCGUAGAUAUCUGGAGGAACACCGGUGGCGAAGGCGGCAUCCUGGACCGGCAUUGACGCUGAGGCGCGAAAGCUAGGGGAGCAAACGGG
rnacentral:rRNA from 1 species